rnacentral:rRNA from 1 species
UCUUUCUUUGCUGGCGACCGGCGCACGGGUGAGUAACACGUAUCCAACCUGCCCUUUACUCGGGGAUAGCCUUUCGAAAGAAAGAUUAAUACCCGAUAGUAUAAUGAUUCCGCAUGGUUUCAUUAUUAAAGGAUCCGGUAAAGGAUGGGGAUGCGUUCCAUUAGGUUGUUGGUGAGGUAACGGCUCACCAAGCCUUCGAUGGAUAGGGGUUCUGAGAGGAAGGUCCCCCACAUUGGAACUGAGACACGGUCCAA